CUUUUUUUGGGUCUCCCACUUCUAUCUGUCUCUCUCCAACGCGACUCAUCGGCUCUCUGCAGGGCGUCUCAUCGCGAUAACACGGCAAGAGACGAAGCAUUGACCAGGGGGCGUUGAUCCAUCGUCCAUCCUAAGAAAUCAUAUGUCGUCGUCGGGGGUCAUCCGCUCCCGAUCCGUCACAGGAAGAUUCGCUGCCGUCGGCGGAUCCUUUCUGCCACCCUUCUCGCGCCCACCCUCCCCUGCCACCGCCGUUAGGAACCCUUACAGCAGCGAGUCCGUCGUCGGCGGUGUCCCAAUCAGAAUCGGGGCCAGUGUUAUCAAUUACUAUUUUGGAUUUAUCUUUAUUUUUAAACACACUUAAUUGAAUUAAUACUUUUUUUUA